UGUAGCUUUACUGACGUUCAUGCUCGAAGGUGCGGGUAUCGAACAGGAUUAGAUACCCUGGUAGUCCGCACUGUAAACGAUGGAUGCUCGCUGUUUGCCAGUUAUGGUGAGUGGCCCAGCGAAAGCGUUAAGCAUCCCACCUGGGGAGUACGCCGGCAACGGUGAAACUCAAAGGAAUUGACGGGGGCCCGCACAAGCGGAGGGACAUGUGGUUUAAUUCGAUGAUACGCGAGGAACCUUACCCGGGCUUGAAUUGCAGCAGGAUGGAUCAGAGAUGGUUCAGUCCUUCGGGACUGCUGUGAAGGUGCUGCAUGGUUGUCGUCAGCUCGUGCCGUGAGGUGUCGGCUUAAGUGCCAUAACGAGCGCAACCCUUUUCCUUAGUUGCCAUCAGGUAGAGCUGGGCACUCUGGGGAUACUGCCACCGCAAGGUGUGAGGAAGGUGGGGAUGACGUCAAAUCAGCACGGCCCUUACGUCCGGGGCUACACACGUGUUACAAUGGCGCGUACAGAGCGUCGGCCGCCCGCGAGGUCGGUCCAAUCGCCAAAACGCGUCUCAGUUCGGACCGGGGUCUGCAACCCGACCCCGCGAAGCUGGAUUCGC
rnacentral:rRNA from 1 species